rnacentral:rRNA from 1 species
GACAGAGGGUGCAAACGUUGCUCGGAAUUACUGGGCGUAAAGCGCGUGUAGGCGGACUGGUGUGUCGGAUGUGAAAUCCCCAGGCUCAACCUGGGAACUGCAUUCGAAACUGCCAGCCUUGAGUGGUGGAGAGGGAAGUGGAAUUCCUGGUGUAGAGGUGAAUUCGAUAUGAUAUCAGGAGGAACACCAGUGGCGAAGGCGGCUUCCUGGACACCAACUGACGCUGAGACGCGAAAGCGUGGGGAGCAAACAGG